GACAGAGGAUGCAAGCGUUAUCCGGAAUGAUUGGGCGUAAGGCGUCUGAGUAGGUGGCUUUUUAAGUCCGCCGUUCAAAUCCCAGGGCUCAACCCCUGGACAGGCGGGUGGGAAACUACCAAGCUGGAGUACUGACAGGGGAGACGUGGAAUUCCGUGGUGAGGCGGUAGAAAUGCGCGGAGUAAGUCAAGGAGGAACACCGGUAGGCGAAGGCGGACGA
rnacentral:rRNA from 1 species